rnacentral:rRNA from 1 species
UAGGGAAUCUUCGGCAAUGGGGGGAACCCUGACCGAGCAACGCCGCGUGAGUGAAGAAGGUUUUCGGAUCGUAAAGCUCUGUUGUUAAGGAAGAACGAGUGUGAGAAUGGAAAGUUCAUGCUGUGACGGUACUUAACCAGAAAGGGACGGCUAACUACGUGCCAGCAGCCGCGGUAAUACGUAGGUCCCGAGCGUUGUCCGGAUUUAUUGGGCGUAAAGCGAGCGCAGGCGGUUAGAAAAGUCUGAAGUUAAAGGCAGUGGCUCAACCAUUGUAGGCUUUGGAAACUGUUUAACUUGAGUGCAGAAGGGGAGAGUGGAAUUCCAUGUGUAACGGUGAAAUGCGUAGAUAUAUGGAGGAACACCGGUGGCGAAAGCGGCUCUCUGGUCUGUAACUGACGCUGAGGCUCGAAAGCGUGGGGAGCGAACAGG